GAAUUCAGACUGGCAAUCAAAGGAAUUGUGGAAGCUGCGAUCGGAAACCAUCGUGAUAGCUAUUGGAAAUAUUUACAGGGCUGCUUUAAUGCACAUGCUAACUGUGCUGAAAAGAAGAACUGCUUCUGCACCAAGGGAAAUUAACAGCAAAUUGCCAAUGGAAAUUAUAGCUUUAGAAAUGCAUGCAAGAGCAUAUUGGUUUCCAUGGCCUGUUUCUGUCGG